UAAAUGUCUGAAAAAAAGGCAUGCCUGGGAGCUGGGGCCUUGCUGAGUGCCUUUCCUCCAGGGCUGUCCUCCCUUCUGGUAGGUUCUGCUCCAGACGAGCCCUUACCACGUUGACUCACUCCUGCAGCUCAGCGAUGCCUGCCGCUUUCAAGAGGAUCAGGAGAUGGCUCGAGACCUCGUAGAGAGAGCGCUGUACAGCAUGGAAUGUGCGUUCCACCCCCUGUUCAGUCUCACCAGUGGGGCCUGCCGGCUGGAUUACCGCAGACCCGAGAACAGGAGCUUCUACCUGGCCCUCUACAAGCAGAUGAGCUUCCUGGAGAAGCGAGGCUGCCCGCGCACGGCGCUGGAGUACUGCAAGCUCAUCCUGAGUCUCGAGCCGGAUGAGGACCCCCUCUGCAUGCUGCUGCUCAUCGACCACCUGGCCUUGCGGGCCCGGAACUACGAGUACCUGAUCCGCCUCUUCCAGGAGUGGGAGGCUCAUCGGAACCUGUCCCAGCUCCCGAAUUUUGCCUUCUCCGUUCCACUGGCGUAUUUCCUGCUGAGCCAGCAGACAGAUCUCCCUGAGUGUGAGCGGAGCUCUGCCAGGCAGAAGGCCUCUCUCCUGAUACAGCAGGCGCUCACCAUGUUCCCUGGA
rnacentral:sRNA from 1 species